rnacentral:rRNA from 1 species
AUUGAACGCUGGCGGCAUGCCUAACACAUGCAAGUCGAACGGUAACAGCCCGCCUGGUGCUGAAGUGUGGCGUAAGGGUGAGUAACCUACCGUUACGUGCCCAGUCGCGCGGGAUAACUACUCGUAAGACCAGCUAAUAUCGCAUACGCAAUAUGGUUGAAAGCGGGGGUGCGCACGGGUUCGCGCGAUUGGAUCGGACGGUGAAAGAUUAGGUAGUUGGCGGGGCAUAGGCUCACUAAGCUGAUGAUCUGUAACAGGUCUGAGAGGACGACCAGCCACACUGGGAGUGAGACACGGCCGAGACACCUACAGUGGGCAGCAGUGGGGAAUAUUGGACAAUGGGGGAAAGCCGGAUCCAGCAAUGCCGCGUGCAGGAAGAAGGACUUCUGGUUGGAAAGUGCUUAAGGACGGAGCGAAGCGAAGCUGGUUAAUACCGGAGGAUAAUGACGGUACCGUAAGAAUAAGCACCGGCUAACUACGUG